rnacentral:lncRNA from 1 species
AAAAAAAAUCUUUAAUGGAAUCUGUGUUCAAAUAAUAUGUUACAACAAAAAUAUACAGAAUGUACACAAUACAAAAAUAUUUAGAAACAAACAUUGCAGCUUGUGUUUCCUUUUGUUUCCCACUUACUCAAGUCCUUGGAGGGAGGGGGAAUUCAGCCUUGGGCACUGUUUUUUAAGGCAGAGGAGUAUUGGUGCUUUCCAGCCGGCGCUGGGAGCAACAUGAAGGAUGCCAGGAAAAGGCUACCCCUGCACCCAGGAAUCUGCAUUAUUUGCAAAUGAAACUGGACCCUGGGCGGGAAGGGGAAGAUCUGGGUUUGGUGAGCAAUGACUCCCCUAAUCCUCUGGGCAAGAAUGGUCCUCGUAGAAAUUGAGAAUCCUAUUAGCUGGCAAAAACGCCUCAUUAGGGAGCUUUUCCUAAUUAAAAAAAUGAAUGAUUAAUGGUAUCAUUAAAGCCAAAUUUCUCCUUUGAAGAUUUGUUUUCCCUUCCCUAGUUUCUGUGAUUCCUCUUCCAUUUAAUGAGUGUGCAAAUCUAUGGCUGCUGUUGGGGGAAUCCCUAGUUUUCAAUUUCUGCAUCCUACAGAUGCAAGGCCAGCCACCCUCCACAGCCCCAAGAGGCACACCGGACCAGUGGCUGUACCAGACCAGGAAGGAGGGAUGAUGGGGGCAUGCUGCUGGCAGGGUACUGGGGGUGAGGGCACACGGACUGGCCAAAGAGAAAGCCAGACGCCAAAAAAGAAAACUUUCUUAUCAGACAAUCUCUGGGUCUGGUUUUGGAGACCUGGGUUAUGUAGAAUGACUGUGGACCCCACUGGUGGCCCUGCCUGGAGCUGACAGCUGGGCGAGGGUGGGGAGGUGCGUGUUAAGCAGACCAAAGAACUUUUGGGUUACUUUUGGACACUGCUGACAGGGAAUAGCUGGGGCUGGUGACCUGAGGUUAGAGGAGGCUCCCUUGCUGCAGCUCAGACAAGAGGGCAAAUGAGAUUUUCGCCCCAGGCAGUCCUUCUUGGUAGCAAGCUCCCAUCUGCAGCCCUGGGUGUUUCUCUGAGGGCUUUCUAGAGUCUUCUAGCUCACCGUCUUCUCACCCCUGCGAGAGGGAGACUCCUCUUCAGGCCACACGGGAUGAAGGCAGGGGUGACCUUCCACUCCAGCAGGGCAGACCUGCCUCCCAGUAAGGCACCAGCUGCUUCUGCUCCUCCAGGGAGAGACAGCACCACUUGGGUUUAGGGGGCUGCAGCCCAUGGCCAAGGCCCUCCUCGCCAUGCUUACCCAAGUCCUCUCAGCCCCCAAGUCCAACUUGGUCUCCUCUCUGAGGAAGCGGACCCUUCCAGCUACACCCUCCUCUCAGUAAGGCAGAGACGGGCUGGUAGGACACAGACAAAAUGCCUCAGGGUGACGCCACUCAGCCACCGACCUGGGC